GGGGACGAAAGGGUUCGACAGGGAAGGUUGAAUCUGGAUUGCAGGCCGAGGUAGCCAUCGCCCUCGUAAAACAGGUGGCGAAAAGUAACUGGCGAAUCUGAGUUCGCUCUGGCCGCCUAAUUUAGGCGGGCCACGUCGACCCUGACCUCUCCUCGAUGGGUUGGGGAUCGGCGCCAUAAUGUCGAGGUGCGGCAGCUUCGACGCCGAUAAGGGUUGUCAAAGAGACAUCGGCUGGCCCGGCGACACUCCGUCGGUGGAGGUACGGCGGGCGAGACCAAAACGCCGACUAAGCCUGUAGGAUAUCCAGGGUGGCCUUCUUCUGGACGGGGAGUUCGAUUCUCCCCCGUCUCCACCA
rfam:Dehalococcoidia bacterium DG_22 WOR1_52_54_4318, whole genome shotgun sequence.